rnacentral:lncRNA from 1 species
CGAAACAAUAUAAACUGAAAGCAUUUGCAGAUGACCUUGUACUGACAUUACAGGAGCCAGAAUCUAGUACGAAAAGAGCAUUAGAACUGAUUCAAGAGUUUGGUCAGGUGGCAGGUUUUAAGCUGAAUAAGUUUAAAACUAAAGUACUUGAGAAGAAUUUAACACCGAUAGAAAAAGAGAGGUUUCAGAAUGAGACAGGUUUAACAGUGGUAAAAAAAGUGAAAUAUUUGGGGAUUCACAUGACAGCUAAAAAUGGGAAUUUAUUUAAAGACAAUUAUGAAAAGUGUUGGUCGGACAUUAAAAAAAGAUUUAGAAAUAUGGACAAACUUGAAGCUUUCCUUGUUAGGUCGAAUUGCUGUCAUCAAGAUGAAUGUAUUGCCAAGAAUGCUGUUUUUGUUUCAAUCGAUACAAAUAAUAGACAAAAUGGACUGUUUUAAGAAGUGGCAGAGAGAUAUUUCUAAGUUUGUCUGGCAGGGCAAGAGGCCUAGGAUAAAAUUUAAAAUAUUGACUGAUGCUAAAGAAAGAGGGGAUUUGCCCUGCCAGACCUUAAACUUUAUUAUGAAUCAGCAGCUUUCUGCUGGUUGAAGGAUUGGCUACUUCUGGAAAAUACUGAUGUUUUGGACUUAGAAGGAUUUAAUAAUGUGUUUGGGUGGCAUGCAUAUUUGUGGUAUGACAAGGUGAAAGCUCACAAAAUAUUUAAAAACCAUAUUGUCAGGAAAGCAUUGUUUAAUGUCUGGAUAAGAUACAAAGACUUAUUGGAGAACAAAACCCCAAGGUGGCUAUCACCAAUGGAGGCAAAGGCCCUAAAAAAGUCCAAUAUGGAGGCCAAGUGGCCAAAAUAUUGGGAGAUCUUGGAACAAGAAGGAGAUAAAUUCAAAUUGCAGAGUUUUGAAAAAUUAAAAGACAGAGUGCGAGACUGGUUGCAUUACUACCAAAUAAGAGAGGUUUAUAAUUUGGAUAGAAAAAUUGGCUUCCAGGUGGAAAAAUCAAAGUUGGAAACAGAACUGCUAGAUUCCAAAACUAAAACACUUUCAAGAAUGUAUAACUUGCUGCUAAAAUGGAAUACUCAGGAUGAAACGGUAAAAUCUGCUAUGAUUAAAUGGGCACAGGAUAUUGGACAUAACAUUAUGUUUGCUGACUGGGAAUGGUUAUGGACCACAGGUACGAAGUUCACAGCAUGUAAUGCUUUAAAAGAGAAUAUUAUGAAAAUGGUGUACAGGUGGUACAUGACCCCAGUUAAGCUUGCAAAAAUCUACCAUUUGCCCGAUAAUAAAUGUUGGAAAUGUAAGGAAACUGAAGGUACAUUCUUUCACCUUUGGUGGACGUGCCCAAAGAUUAAGGCCUUCUGGGAAAUGAUAUAUAAUGAGUUGAAAAAGGUAUUUAAGUAUACCUUCUUAAAGAAACCAGAGGCCUUCCUCUUGGGCAUUGUUGGCCAAUUGGUGCCAAAGAAAGAUAGAACUUUCUUUAUGUAUGCAACAGCAGCAGCAAGAAUACUCAUCGCAAAGUAUUGGAAGACACAAGACUUACCCACUCUGGAAGAAUGGCAGAUGAAGGUAAUCGAAUAUAUGGAACUGGCGGAGAUGACUGGCAGAAUCCGUGACCAGGGAGAAGAGUCGGUGGAAGAAGAUUGGAAGAAAUUUAAAGUCUAUCUACAGAAAUACUAUAAAAUUAAUGAAUGUUAAAUUGAAGUCUGAUUGAAAAUAACUGGUAUUGGCAAAAGCCUUGGGAUUAAGAGUAUGGAAUAUUUGACUGAUAAGGUUGUAAAAAUAUUUAUAUAUAAAUAGAUUAAGUUUUCUGAGUUAAGAUAAUGAAAGGAGGGUAAGGAUUUGCUGAAAGGAGUUCUUAAAUGGAAAUACAAGCGGGGAGGUGCGGGGAAGUCAAAGAACCAGGUAAAGAUAAGAAGGAUAAAUGAAAGUAUAAUAUUCUUUGAAUUUCUUUGUCUCUUUUUCUUUUUUUCUUUUUUCUUUUUUUGUUAUGGAUACUGUUAUUUUUGUUUGUUUUUUGUCAUGGUUAUUGUUGUUUUUUGUUUGUUGAACUUUUGUAAUUUUGUAUUUUUUUUUGGAAAUUUUUCUUGUAAAACCAAUAAAUAUUUUAUA